rnacentral:rRNA from 1 species
AGAGAUAGUGCCCCCCUUGUGGUCGGUGUACAGGUGGUGCAUGGCUGUCGUCAGCUCGUGUCGUGAGAUGUUGGGUUAAGUCCCGCAACGAGCGCAACCCUUGUUCUGUGUUGCCAGCAUGCCCUUCGGGGUGAUGGGGACUCACAGGAGACUGCCGGGGUCAACUCGGAGGAAGGUGGGGACGACGUCAAGUCAUCAUGCCCCUUAUGUCUUGGGCUGCACACGUGCUACAAUGGCAGGUACAAUGAGCUGCGAAGCCGUGAGGCGGAGCG